GAACCGAGUGAGCGCGUUGUUCGCGAGGGUUUUUAGGGAGGUACGAGGGAUAACACGAGGAAGGCGUGUAGAUCACCGGGUGAGGCGUCUCGAGUUCUUUCCGUA
rnacentral:ribozyme from 1 species